AGGGUUUGAGGAAUAUGUACCAACUCCCGAUAACAAAACCUGUGGCUGAUUUGCUGUACUCGAUGCAGUUGUACGCUCACGCACCACUUCCUACCACCCUUUGC